AUUGAACGCUGGCGGCAUGCCUUACACAUGCAAGUCGAACGGCAGCACGGGUGCUUGCACCUGGUGGCGAGUGGCGAACGGGUGAGUAAUACAUCGGAACAUGUCCCGUAGUGGGGGAUAGCCCGGCGAAAGCCGGAUUAAUACCGCAUACGAUCUACGGAUGAAAGCGGGGGACCUUCGGGCCUCGCGCUAUAGGGUUGGCCGAUGGCUGAUUAGCUAGUUGGUGGGGUAAAGGCCUACCAAGGCGACGAUCAGUAGCUGGUCUGAGAGGACGACCAGCCACACUGGAACUGAAACACGGCCCAGACUCCUACGGGAGGCAGCAGUGGGGAAUUUUGGACAAUGGGCGAAAGCCUGAUCCAGCAAUGCCGCGUGUGUGAAGAAGGCCUUCGGGUUGUAAAGCACUUUUGUCCGGAAAGAAAUCCUUGGCCCUAAUACGGUCGGGGGAUGACGGUACCGGAAGAAUAAGCACCGGCUAACUACGUG
rnacentral:rRNA from 1 species